GGACUACCGGGGUAUCUAAUCCUGUUUGCUCCCCUAGCUUUCGUGCCUCAGCGUCAGUUUCUGUCCAGGUAGCCGCCUUCGCCACCGGUGUUCCUCCUGAUAUCUACGCAUUUCACCGCUACACCAGGAAUUCCGCUACCCCCUCCAGAACUCUAGCACUCCAGUUUCGGAUGCAGGCUCUGGGUUGAGCCCAGAGUUUUCACAUCCGACUUAGAGCACCGCCUACGCACCCUUUACGCCCAGUAAUUCCGAGCAACGCUGGCCCCCUACGUAUUACCGCGGCUGCUGGCAC
rnacentral:rRNA from 1 species